AGAACGAACGCUGGCGGCAUGCCUAACACAUGCAAGUCGAGCGAGACCUUCGGGUCUAGUGGCGCACGGGUGCGUAACGCGUGGGAAUCUGCCCUUGGGUUCGGAAUAACAGCGAGAAAUUGCUGCUAAUACCGGAUGAUGACGUAAGUCCAAAGAUUUAUCGCCCAAGGAUGAGCCCGCGUAGGAUUAGCUUGUUGGUGAGGUAAGAGCUCACCAAGGCGACGAUCCUUAGCUGGUCUGAGAGGAUGAUCAGCCACACUGGGACUGAGACACGGCCCAGACUCCUACGGGAGGCAGCAGUGGGGAAUAUUGGACAAUGGGCGAAAGCCUGAUCCAGCAAUGCCGCGUGAGUGAUGAAGGCCUUAGGGUUGUAAAGCUCUUUUACCCGGAUGAUAAUGACAGUACCGGAGAAUAAGCUCCGGCUAACUCCGCGCCAGCAGCCGC
rnacentral:rRNA from 1 species